GAUGAACGCUGGCGGCGUGCCUAAUACAUGCCAGUCGAGCGAACAGACGAGGAGCUUGCUCCUCUGACGUUAGCGGCGGACGGGUGAGUAACACGUGAAUAACCUACCUAUAAGACUGGGAUAAAUUCGGGAAACCGGAGCUAAUACCGGAUAAUAUAUUGAACCGCAUGGUUCAAUAGUGAAAGACGGUUUUGCUGUCACUUAUAGAUGGAUCGGCGCCGCAUUAGCUAGUUGGUAAGGUAACGGCUUACCAAGGCGACGAUGCGUAGCCGACCUGAGAGGGUGAUCGGCCACACUGGAACUGAGACACGGUCCAGACUCCUACGGGAGGCAGCAGUAGGGAAUCUUCCGCAAUGGGCGAAAGCCUGACGGAGCAACGCCGCGUGAGUGAUGAAGGUCUUCGGAUCGUAAAACUCUGUUAUUAGGGAAGAACAAAUGUGUAAGUAACUAUGCACGUCUUGACGGUACCUAAUCAGAAAGCCACGGCUAACUACGUG
rnacentral:rRNA from 1 species